ensembl:snRNA U6 U6 spliceosomal RNA
GUGCUUGCUUCAGCAGCACAUACACUAAAAUUGGAAUGAUACAGAGAUUAGCAUGACCCCGCGCAAGGAUGACAUGCAAAUUCAUGAAGCGUUCCAUAAAAAA